GAUUUCUGGCUUGGUGCGCUUGGCCCGCCGCGGUUACGCGGUGAGUGCCGGGUCGUGCCUGCCAUCCUUCUAGAACACGUUCCUACCCUUCACUGGGCCGGGGACGCUAUCUAGAUCUUUUACUUUGAAAAAAUUAGAGUGUUUAAAGCAGGCUUUUGCUAUGAAUACAUUAGCAUGGAAUAAUAAUUUAGGACUUCGGUUCUAUUUUGUUGGUUUCUAGGACUGAAGUAAUGAUUGAUAGGGAUAGUUGGGGGUGCUAGUAUUCAGUGGCCAGAGGUGAAAUUCUCGGAUUCACUGAAGACUAACUUAUGCGAAAGCAUU
rnacentral:rRNA from 1 species